rnacentral:rRNA from 1 species
UACGUAGGGGGCUAGCGUUGUCCGGAAUCAUUGGGCGUAAAGCGCGCGUAGGCGGCCCGGUAAGUCUGCUGUAAAAGUCAAAGGCUCAACCUUUGAAUGUCAGUGGAUACUGCCGGGCUAGAGUCCGGAAGAGGCGAGUGGAAUUCCUGGUGGAGCGGUGAAAUGCGCAGAGAUCAGGAGGAACACCCGUAGCGAAGGCGGCACUCUGGGCCGAUACUGACACUGAGGAGCGAAAGCGUGGGGAGCGAACAGG